AUUAAACGCUGGCGGCAGGCCUAACACUUGCAAGUCGAGCGGUAACAAAGAGAAGCUUGCUUCUCUGCUGACGAGCGGCGGACGGGUGAGUAAUGCCUAGGAAUCUGCCUAGUAGUGGGGGAUAACUUGCCGAAAGGUAAGCUAAUACCGCAUACGUCCUACGGGAGAAAGGAGGGGACCUUCGGGCCUUUCGCUAUUAGAUGAGCCUAGGUCGGAUUAGUUAGUUGGUGAGGUAAUGGCUCACCAAGACCGCGAUCCGUAACUGGUCUGAGAGGAUGAUCAGUCACACUGGAACUGAGACACGGUCCAGACUCCUACGGGAGGCAGCAGUGGGGAAUAUUGGACAAUGGGGGGAACCCUGAUCCAGCCAUGCCGCGUGUGUGAAGAAGGUCUUAGGAUUGUAAAGCACUUUAAGUUGGGAGGAAGAGCAGUUAACUAAUAUUUGACUGUUUUGACGUUACCGACAGAAUAAGCACCGGCUAACUUCGUGCCAGCCGCCGCAGUAA
rnacentral:rRNA from 1 species